rfam:Cavia porcellus supercont2_10 genomic scaffold, whole genome shotgun sequence.
GGGGAUUUAGCUUAGCAGUAUAAGUGCCUGCCUUGCAAGCAGGCAAUCAUGAGUUUGAUCCCUG